AUCUUACAUUUCUGGAGGGAGCAUAAAUCAGAAGCAUCCCUUUAGAGGGCAAUUUGGCAGUAUCUCUCAAAACGUCAACCGCACACGGCCUCUGACCGGAGAUUCUACUUCUAGGAACUCAUCCUACAGCUACGCUCCCAUGUGGGCCAAAAGGAUCUUCACUGCAGCUGUUUUCAACACCAAAACAACCUAGAGCCAAUACAGAAGGUGCCCAGGUAACUGAAAUGCCAACCCAAUGCUUUCAUUCCUACUGACAAGGCGUGUGUCCUAGAACGGAAGAAGCUGGAGAGGGGGACGCUUCUGCACAGGAGAGCCUCAGGUCCCACACAACAGGAAGAAGUCCUUCACUGCCACCACAGUGUACCUUUUAAAUAUUUUGCAAAGAGAGAAGAGUUCAGAGCUCAAGAACCACACACAAAAGAGGACAUCACAACUUGCAAGAAUAUUCAUAGUUGCCGCAGAAAGAGACUUCCAAAAAUUCCCACUGACCCAAGUUAAGAUUCAGGAUGCUUCCAGUGGUGGACGUUUUGUCUGUUUUCGUCGUGAUGGGUGUUGAUGCUUGAGGAGAGAAAGUUUUCGGGCUGCCGGAUAAACUCCCUGCUUGUCCCGUCUUUGCAGAGGCUGGUGAAGCUGAAAAAGUAUGUUCAUUGUUAAAAAAUGAAUUUACAAAUAAAUAAAUAAAUAAAACU